CCGGGGUUGGGAGUUCUCCUGAGGGAAGAGGAGUGGAGUAGGGGGGACGCGGCGGCGGCGUUGACAAUGAGUUUUCUUGGAGGCUUUUUUGGUCCAAUUUGUGAGAUCGAUAUUGUUCUUAAUGAUGGGGAAACCAGGAAAAUGGCAGAAAUGAAAACUGAAGAUGGCAAAGUAGAAAAACACUAUCUCUUCUAUGACGGAGAAUCUGUUUCAGGAAAGAACUUUUCAAUGACAAGAGUAAUACUCAUGAAUUUGUAAACCUAGUGAAAGAACUAGCCUUACCUGGAGAACUGACUCAGAGCAGAAGUUAUGAUUUUGAAUUUAUGCAAGUUGAAAAGCCAUAUGAAUCUUACAUCGGUGCCAAUGUCCGCUUGAGGUAUCAUUUAAAGGAUGUGAUUGUUGGAAAAAUUUACUUCUUAUUAGUAAGAAUAAAAAUACAACAUAUGGAGUUACAGCUGAUCAAAAAAGAGAUCACAGGAAUUGGACCCAGUACCACAACAGAAACAGAAACAAUCGCCAAAUAUGAAAUAAUGGAUGGUGCACCAGUAAAAGGUGAAUCAAUUCCAAUAAGACUAUUUUUAGCAGGAUAUGACCCAACUCCAACAAUGAGAGAUGUGAACAAAAAAUUUUCAGUAAGGUACUUUUUGAAUUUAGUGCUUGUUGAUGAGGAAGACCGGAGGUACUUCAAACAGCAGGAGAUAAUUUUAUGGAGAAAAGCUCCUGAAAAACUGAGGAAACAGAGAACAAACUUUCACCAGCGAUUUGAAUCUCCAGAAUCACAGGCAUCUGCCGAACAGCCU
rnacentral:sRNA from 1 species